UACGUAGGGACCAAGCGUUGUUCGGAUUUACUGGGCGUAAAGGGCGCGUAGGCGGCGCGACAAGUCAGUUGUGAAAUCUCUGAGCUUAACUCAGAACGGCCAAGUGAAACUGUUGUGCUAGAGUGCAGAAGGGGCAAUCGGAAUUCUUGGUGUAGCGGUGAAAUGCGUAGAUAUCAAGAGGAACACCUGAGGUGAAGACGGGUUGCUGGGCUGACACUGACGCUGAAGCGCGAAAGCCAGGGGAGCAAACGGG
rnacentral:rRNA from 1 species